AUACUUAAUAAUUAUAUGUCUCUCUAAUUAUCUGUCUCAAUGGGCUGGAAGGAGCUUGGCCAACCUGACGGAUGGAAUGUGAUGAUACACUAGCAAGGCUGGACGGCAUGUGUUUAGUGUGUAUGCGUCACAGGGGGCUGCUGAGAGGAGGACGGCUCAUAAUAACGGCCGGAACGGAGUGAAUGGAAUGUCACCAAACACAAUGGAGACUACGUUGGAUGUAGUUGACACCGUUCCAUGAAUUCUGCUCUAGCCAUUACCACGAGUCCUUCCUCCACAAUGAAGGAGGACAAGGGAAGAGUAAUCGAUCAGCAACCAGGCCCAGACCACAGUGUGAAACCCUGUCAAUACAGGAUGCUCAAACGAGACACAGAGACGAGACACAGCGAGCCAAUCCCUAUUUUACUGUCCAGCAGACGGAUCAACCGACAACUUCUAUUGGAUGACGCAGCAGUACUCGGAAAUGUGAGGAGUCACAACAAAAUCGAAUCAAAUCAAAUUGUAUUGAUCACACACACCUAUUUAGCAGAUGUUAUUGCGGGUGUAGCAAAAUGCUUGUGUUCCUAGCUCCAACAGUGCAGUAAUUCAAAGACUCAAUCAUCGACUCUCUUACUGACAGUUGUGGCUGCUUUGCGAGAUCUAUGUUGUCUCUACUUUCUUGCCCUUUGUGCUGUUAUCCGUGCCCAAUCAUGUUUGCACCAUGUUUUGUGCCGCUAUCAUGUUGUAUUGCUACCAUGUUGUUGUCAUGUUGUGUUGCUACCAUGCUGUGUUG